AGGGUGUAAACGCUGCGGGCUUGGUGUUGGGGGUCCUUUGAGGGCGCCCAGUGCCGGAGAGAAGUUGUUAAGCCUGCUGCUUGGGGAGUACGUCCGCAAGGAUGAAACUUAAAGGAAUUGGCGGGGGAGCACCGCAACGGGAGGAGCGUGCGGUUCAAUUGGAUUCAACGCCGGACAACUCACCAGGAGCGACGGUUACAGGAAGGCCAGGCUGAAGACUUUGCCGGAUUAGCUGAGAGGAGGUGCAUGGCGUAGUCGUGU
rnacentral:rRNA from 1 species